rnacentral:tRNA from 1 species
GGAGAGAUGGCAGAGUGGUCGAUUGCGGCGGUCUUGAAAACCGCUGUACCGCAAGGUACCGGGGGUUCGAAUCCCUCUCUCUCCG